CGCCGUAACUAUAACGGUCCUAAGGUAGCGAAAUUCCUUGUAGGGUAAGUUCUGACC
rnacentral:ncRNA from 1 species